rnacentral:rRNA from 1 species
GUGCACCGCCCGGUGUCUCCGUCAUGCUCCGAACAGCAGGAUUGACCCUGCCCCGCCGGCUCACACGGGGUGCUCUUCAUCGAGUGUCCCGCGUGGCCGGAGAGUUUACUUUGAAAAAAUUAGAGUGCUCAGAGCAGGCUACUUGAAUGGCCUGAAUGGUGAUGCAUGGAAUAAUGGAAUAGGACCUCGGUUCUAUUUUAUUGGUUUUAAGAACCCGAGUUAAUGACUAAUAGGAACAGGCGGGGGCAUUCGUACUGCGACGCUAGAGGUGAAAUUCUUGGACCGUCGCAAGACGAACUACAGCGAAAGCAUUUGCCAAGGAUGUUUUCAUUAAUCAAGAACGAAAGUUAGAGGUUCGAAGGCGAUCAGAUACCGCCCUAGUUCUAACCAUAAACGAUGCUGACUAGCAAUCCGCCGGCGUUAUUCCCAUGACCCGGCGGGCAGCUUCCGGGAAACCAAAGUCUUUGGGUUCCGGGGGAAGUAUGGUUGCAAAGCUGAAACUUAAAGGAAUUGACGGAAGGGCACCACCAGGAGUGGAGCCUGCGGCUUAAUUUGACUCAACACGGGGAACCUCACCAGGCCCAGACACCGGAAGGAUUGACAGAUUGAGAGCUCUUUCUUGAUUCGGUGGGUGGUGGUGCAUGGCCGUUCUUAGUUGGUGGAG